GUGCUCCUGUCUGGCCUGGCUUCCUAGUGUGAUCCGUGAGCUGCUCCAUCCCUGAGCUCCUGCCUGGCGGAUGUUGGGCUGUGUCUAACCCUGGUUGUUCUCAUAGCACCUGGCUUGACUGUGGACCUGUCUUGUCACCGUGAUCUUGCCUGCUGCUCUGGGCUCUUGAUGCCACCUGGCUACUACCUGUGGGCUGCCUGCUGCCUUGCUCAGUGAGAGCCUGGAAAGCUGGUUUUGCCCUCUGGGAUCCCUGGGCACUAGUGCCAGCCUGGGACAUGGCUUCCCGUUCCCUCUGCAUCCCCCAGCUGGAACUGCUCCCCACACAGAUGCCUAGAAGGGGCAGUGCUCGUUCCCUUGGGUUUUGUAUGGAGGCUGCAAACCAUGGAUUUUACUCCGAACAUGCACUAGGAGAAUAUGGAAAUGGCUUUGAGCUCAGACCAUCAGUAAAGAGUCUCCUGAUCAGAGAUGUGUUUAUGAAGAGGAGAGCUGGGUUUCAGACCAGUUGGGAAGCUUGGCCUUGAAGGCUUCCCCUGCAUGAAUUCUAUUGUAAAUAGUCAUUUGGAUGCUACUCAAACAUUCAUUGCUGUGACCUAGAAAGAAAAGUUUGUUUCCUGUUUCCACUUUAAGGGGCAGCUAUGUUGCUUGACAGAUGUUAAAACAAAACAAAAAGGAAUAUUGGGAUUUGGCAUUGUGGGAUCAUCUAAACAGGAAUGCUUCUGAAGUAAAUAGAGGCAAAAGC